rnacentral:rRNA from 1 species
CUACGGGCCGCAGCAGUGAGGAAUAUUGCACAAUGGGGGGCACCCUGAUGCAGCAACGCCGCGUGGAGGAUGACGCAUUUCGGUGUGCAAACUCCUUUUAUAUGUCAAGAAAAUGACGGUAGCAUAUGAAUAAGCACCGGCUAACUCCGUGCCAGCAGCCGCGGUAAUACGGAGGGUGCAAGCGUUACUCGGAAUCACGGGGCGUAAAGGACGCGUAGGCGGGUUGGAAAGUCAGGUGUGAAAUCCUACAGCUUAACUGUAGAACUGCACUUGAAACUUCUAAUCUAGAGUAUGGGAGGGGAGAUGGAAUUAGUGGUGUAGGGGUAAACUCCGUAGAUAUCACUAGGAAUACCUAAAGCGAAGGCGAUCUCCUGGAACAUUACUGACGCUAAGGCGUGAAAGCGUGGGGAGCAAACAGGAUUAGAUACCCCUGUAGUC